UGAGGCGCCGGGGCCGUUACCGAGGGACCCCCGCCUGAGCGGCUGCGGGGGGAUCACACCGGAACCCCGGGCAGAGGCAGGACCGUGACCCUCCAAGCCCCGGGUGUGCGUGGGGGUCCCGCCCGGAGCCCGGGGGGGUUCCCUGGUCCCUGCCCGCCCUCACGUGUCGCCCUCGUCGGUGACGAAGCUCAGGACGUGCCGCAGCCAGGCCGCGGGGUCAGCGAGGGGCUCGGGGGAAUCCGCCGCGGGGCUGGCGGGCAGCGGCGGCCCCAGCGGCCCGUCGCCCAGCGAGCCCAGCCCGCUGUCGCACCACUCGUCGCCCUCGGGGCGCUUGGCCUCGCCGGGGGCCGCCGGGGCCGCGGGGGCCGCGGCCGCCAUCGCCGGGGCCGCCUCAGGCCGCGGCCGCCAUCGCGGGCCGGGGAAUCCCCGCCGCGGCGCCUGCCGGGACCCGUAGUCCGCGCCCGCGCUUCCGGGUGCCUCGGCUAAUCAGCACCCUCCGUCUGUCCGCGCCUGCGUGCCCCGCCCAGCGGAGCCGCCGCGGGGCACGCCGGGAGUUGUGGUGCGGGCAGGCCGCGCCCAUGGCGGACCGGGACGGUACCGGGGCCGGCGGGGCCGGGAGCAGCCCCGGGGGUGCGGCUCCCUCUGCUCCCGCCCCCGCCGGGGACCCCCCCAGCGAGCCCGCGGCUCCCGGUGCCCGCCGGGAGGAGGCGGAGCAGGACGCCGAGUCUCCGGUUUCGGAGCCCGAGCCCGGCACUUCGGCCGACACUGACAGUGGGUCUGGGGGCGCCGGGGUCCCGUGGUGGCCGCGGGGGCCUCGGCUGGGCAUUUGGGGACACCCCGGGACCACUUGGGGACGUUUUGGGGACACUUUGGGGACCCCCUGGGGACACUUCGGGGACCCCCCGGGGAUACCUCGGGAAUCUUUUGGGGACACCUCGGGGACCCCUUGGGGGCGUUUUGGGGACAUUCGGGGGGGUGUGGCGCUGUUUCGGGACCUUUGGGGACAUUUUGGGAGCAACAUUCUGG
rnacentral:lncRNA from 1 species